GCUGACCUGAAGCCGUGUCCACCUGCCGAAGCAGUGCUAACUCCCAGCCUGUGGGUCACCACUGCCAUCUGUGCUGGCUCUGUCCUCCUGUUGAGUGUCGUCAUCCUUCUCAUCUGUCUGGGCCCUAAGAUGAAAAAAGCCUGUGAGGAGAAAAAAGAGAUGCACUUUAACGAAAUAUAUGAAGGCAUUCAACACCGUGCAUCUCUCAGCUGAGGGCCUAAUCUGAUGGGACAGGACGUGCACAAAUCCCAUCUUUAUCAUCAUAACCUGUCACUCUAAAUAUCAAGUAAUUGCACCUAUAGCUGUGGCUGGGUGAUAUCAAGAUAUUGUUUUUCAGCCAUAUCUUAGGUCACUGUAUAGAUAUUCGACAUACAGUGGUGAUCAAAUGAAAGAGCAAGACACAUUUUUGUAAUUCACAAAAAUGCAGCUUCUCCGAAUUCAAAGAUAUUCUGACAGGAAUACAGGAGAUGUAUUUUAAUCAUAUCCCAUUAGUAAAGGCUAUGCCACAUUAAAAAAUAAAUGGUUUAAACAAGAAAUUUCAAGAAAGUCGGCGAUAAAAUGAGAACGGUUACAAUUUUUUUUGUAGAAGAAGCCUAGAAAUGAAUUCUCAAAUCAAUUCUCAACUUUGAAAAAUUAAUAGGAAGGCUUUUUCAUUCAAUGACUGGCAUAUCAAUGCCCACAGGACAUCUGAGACAAUUCAGAAACUGUGGUGGGUUUGUUUGGCAUAAUUUUGUCGCCGAUUACCUUGCAGAGAUUGAUAGGGUUCAGAUCAGGACUCUGGGCUGGUCAUUUCAUCUCCUAGAUGUUCUUGGCUUUCAGUAAUUGCUUCAUCCACUUUGCAGUGUGGUAAUGGGCAUUUCUCUUUUUUCUCUUACUUUUGUCCUGUCCAGCAGCUUCAGCAAACAGAAUCAUUUUCUGAAUGCACUGCUGUGCCAAACAUGUUUGCUUUACAUGAGGGGCUCUAUAAACUCUGUAUUGGCCCCUCAUGUUGAUCGAUUCCUUUUUAUUUUAUUUAUUUAUUUCAUUUUUAGCACAUGUACAAUAUUGCAGUGGCUGAGGUGGCCGAAGAGGAGGGACAGAUUAGGAGGGGGGAGAAAAAGAAAGAAAAGAAAAGAACAAAAAAGAAAAGAAGGAGUAAGUGAGAGAGCUAAGCCAAGAUCAUAGGAGUAAAGUAGAAGGCACAUAAUCUCCAAUUGCUGCAUCUGUAAAGGAAAGGGAAGAAAAACAAAAAAAGCAUCUGAAAGAAGUGCAAAAUGGAUAGAUACAUAAACACAAACAAAAAUAAAGAAUAAAGAAAGUAACAGCUAUACAGACAUACGAAAUUGUUGUGUGUGCUUGGAGGGGUGCGUGCAAGUGUAUGCACAUGCGUGUUCAGUUGUGUAGAUGGGACGUGCGUGUGUUGUGUGCGUGUGUUGUGUGUGUGUGUUUUCAAUAUGGAAUGUACUAAACGGCGAGGGUGGGAGGCUGCAACCACACCCCACAAGAGCCAGAGGUCGGCGGAGACAGACCCAGGAGGCCCGGGACGUCCGUAGCCCCCGAAGAGCACGGAAGAGCCGGGGCCCCACUCCAGCCGGGGGAGGAGGGAGGUCCCAGACGCUGCCCCCGCACGCAAAAGGGAAUAAGAUCCAGAGGCAACAGACAGUGUGGCCGCAGGAAGAGCCAAGCUGUUAGCAAGCGCUGGGCAGUCAGUCGGCUCUGGAGGUGCGGCCCCCCCAAGCCCCUUCUUCUUCCGUGACUUUGUGGAAAGCUGGUUGUUGAUCGCCAGGCUGGUUCAAGAAGCCUCGUCAGGCCAUCACUGGUUGAGUUUUGAGACUUUGGAGGCAGGAACAGUGGCUGAUUUCUCUACCUCGUUGAUUGGUCACUUCGAAUCCUAUGAUUGGCUGUUUGCUUUGGAAGAAGAAGAUGAUCAUUGAUCAGUCAUGUUGGAGCAAGGAAGUCUUACACUAAGGUAACAUCUUUCAGAGAUCCUAUUUUAAUAAUGUCAUUCACUUUGAUAUUAUGGAUUAGAAAUAAGUUAUUUUCCUGUUAUUAUCAAUGUAAACUAAUCCAUUCUGGGGAGCAGCAGGUCAGCGCUGGGGCACGUGCCCCAGUAAAAGGGGUGUAGCAACACCCAUGUAGUAACAUAUAUUCACAACAAUAUGGGGAGUGUGCUUAAGAGCCAUCUGCUUAGCCCACUGAACCACACGGUGCCCUGGGAAGCAGAACACACACUAGGGACUAUGACGUACACAAGACUCGGGGAACACACAGAAUGGGAUGGGCUGCGACCCCUACUGGCCAAACGUGGAACCAAAAGGGAGCAGGACAGAGGCCAAUUCUGACAAAUCCAGGUACAGGGAAAAUCUGGAUUCAAGUUUUUGUAUCCUGCAUGUAGGUGGGUAGGGGGCGCCAUAGAUAGAAGAUUGACUACACCAUUCCGUUUUGUUUUUUUAUAAACCAGUCUGACCAAAGGACAAGGAAACCCACAAGACGAUUCAACUGCAUGAGGAGAGGCCCAAAGAAAUAAAAGAAAUACAGUGGUAC